CUUCCAGUAGCACCUUAGAGACCAACUAAGUUUGUUAUUGGUAUGAGCUUUCGUGUGCAUGCAAUAACAAACUUAGUUGGUCUCUAAAGUGCUACUGGAGG